CAGUAGCCACGGUGAUACGUAGGGCGCAAGCGUUAUCCGGAAUUAUUGGGCGUAAAGAGCUCGUAGGCGGUUUGUCGCGUCUGCCGUGAAAGUCCGGGGCUCAACCCCGGAUCUGCGGUGGGUACGGGCAGACUAGAGUGAUGUAGGGGAGACUGGAAUUCCUGGUGUAGCGGUGAAAUGCGCAGAUAUCAGGAGGAACACCGAUGGCGAAGGCAGGUCUCUGGGCAUUAACUGACGCUGAGGAGCGAAAGCAUGGGGAGCGAACAGGAUUAGAUACCCGGGUAGUCCCUGUCUCUUAUAC
rnacentral:rRNA from 1 species